UACGUAGGGUGCGAGCGUUAAUCGGAAUUACUGGGCGUAAAGGGUGCUUAGGGGGUUGGUUUUGUUUGCGGGGAAAGCCCCGGGCUUAACCUGGGAAUGGCAGUGGAAACUGGCGGGCUUGAGUGUGGCAGAGGGGGGUGGAAUUCCGCGUGUAGCAGUGAAAUGCGUAGAGAUGCGGAGGAACACCGAUGGCGAAGGCAGCCCCCUGGGCUGACACUGACGCUGAGGCACGAAAGCGUGGGGAGCAAACAGG
rnacentral:rRNA from 1 species